UACGAAGGGGGCUAGCGUUGUUCGGAUUUACUGGGCGUAAAGCGCACGUAGGCGGAUCGUUAAGUCAGGGGUGAAAUCCUGGAGCUCAACUCCAGAACUGCCUUUGAUACUGAAGAUCUUGAGUUCGGGAGAGGUGAGUGGAACUGCGAGUGUAGAGGUGAAAUUCGUAGAUAUUCGCAAGAACACCAGUGGCGAAGGCGGCUCACUGGCCCGAUACUGACGCUGAGGCACGAAAGCGUGGGGAUCAAACAGG
rnacentral:rRNA from 1 species